rnacentral:siRNA from 1 species
AGGGCAGCACGUAUCUGGUCACGG